rnacentral:rRNA from 1 species
UACGAAGGGGGCUAGCGUUGCUCGGAAUCACUGGGCGUAAAGGGUGCGUAGGCGGGUCUUUUAAGUCAGGGGUGAAAUCCUGGAGCUCAACUCCAGAACUGCCUUUGAUACUGAGGGUCUUGAGUCCGGGAGAGGUGAGUGGAACUGCGAGUGUAGAGGUGAAAUUCGUAGAUAUUCGCAAGAACACCAGUGGCGAAGGCGGCUCACUGGCCCGGUACUGACGCUGAGGCACGAAAGCGUGGGGAGCAAACAGGG